CGUUUUUAGCGGAAAAGUUAACGGAAAUUUGUAUGGAGUUGGAAUGUUUGCCUACGUUUCCCGCUAGGGGCGCUGUUCCAAUUGCAUACAAAAUUGAGUUAACUUUUACGCUAUCGA
rnacentral:pre_miRNA from 9 species